UACGGAGGGGGCAAGCGUUGUUCGGAAUUACUGGGCGUAAAGGGCGCGCAGGCGGCUGCUCAAGUCAGGCGUGAAAGGCCUGGGCUCAACCCGGGAAUUGCGCUUGAGACUGGGCUGGCUUGAGUGCGGGAGAGGAUAGUGGAAUUCCCAGUGUAGUGGUGAAAUACGUAGAGAUUGGGAAGAACACCAGUGGCGAAGGCGGCUAUCUGGACGGUUUCUGACGCUAAGACGCGAAAGCGUGGGGAGCAAACAGG
rnacentral:rRNA from 1 species